GAUGAACGCUGGCGGCGUGCCUAAUACAUGCAAGUCGAGCGAACAGACGAGGCGCUUGCUCCUCUCACGUUAGCGGAGGACGGGAGAGUAACACGUGGAUAACCUACCUAUAAGACUGGGAAAACUUCGGGAAACCGGAGCAAAUCCCGGAUGAUAUCUUGAUCCGCGUGGUGCAAUAGUGAAAGACGGUUUUGCUGUCACUUCUAGAUGGUUCCGAGCCGCAUUAGCUAGUUGGUACGGAAACGGCUUACCAAGGCAACGAUGCGUAGCCGACCGGGGAGGGUGGUAGGCGACAUGAGAGCGUGGACACGGUCCAGACGCCUACGGGAGGCAGCAGAAGGGAAUCUUCCGCAGUGGGCGAGAGCCUGGCGGAACAACGCCACGUCAGUUAUGAAGGUCUUCGGAGCGUAAUACUCUGUUUUUAGUUAUGAACAAAUGUGUAAUGAACUGUGCACUUCUUGACGGUACCUAGUCAGAAAGCCACGGCUAACUACGUG
rnacentral:rRNA from 1 species